rnacentral:rRNA from 1 species
GAUGAACGCUGGCGGCGUGCCUAAUACAUGCAAGUCGAGCGAACAGACAAGGAGCUUGCUCCUUUGACGUUAGCGGCGGACGGGUGAGUAACACGUGGGUAACCUACCUAUAAGACUGGGAUAACUUCGGGAAACCGGAGCUAAUACCGGAUAAUAUUUCGAACCGCAUGGUUCGAUAGUGAAAGAUGGUUUUGCUAUCACUUAUAGAUGGACCCGCGCCGUAUUAGCUAGUUGGUAAGGUAACGGCUUACCAAGGCGACGAUACGUAGCCGACCUGAGAGGGUGAUCGGCCACACUGGAACUGAGACACGGUCCAGACUCCUACGGGAGGCAGCAGUAGGGAAUCUUCCGCAAUGGGCGAAAGCCUGACGGAGCAACGCCGCGUGAGUGAUGAAGGUCUUCGGAUCGUAAAACUCUGUUAUUAGGGAAGAACAUACGUGUAAGUAACUAUGCACGUCUUGACGGUACCUAAUCAGAAAGCCACGGCUAACUACGUGCCAGCAGCCGCGGUAAUACGUAGGUGGCAAGCGUUAUCCGGAAUUAUUGGGCGUAAAGCGCGCGUAGGCGGUUUUUUAAGUCUGAUGUGAAAGCCCACGGCUCAACCGUGGAGGGUCAUUGGAAACUGUAAAACUUGAGUGCAGAAGAGGAAAGUGGAAUUCCAUGUGUAGCGGUGAAAUGCGCAGAGAUAUGGAGGAACACCAGUGGCGAAGGCGACUUUCUGGUCUGUAACUGACGCUGAUGUGCGAAAGCGUGGGGAUCAAACAGGAUUAGAUACCCUGGUAGUCCACGCCGUAAACGAUGAGUGCUAAGUGUUAGGGGGUUUCCGCCCCUUAGUGCUGCAGCUAACGCAUUAAGCACUCCGCCUGGGGAGUACGACCGCAAGGUUGAAACUCAAAGGAAUUGACGGGGACCCGCACAAGCGGUGGAGCAUGUGGUUUAAUUCGAAGCAACGCGAAGAACCUUACCAAAUCUUGACAUCCUUUGACAACUCUAGAGAUAGAGCCUUCCCCUUCGGGGGACAAAGUGACAGGUGGUGCAUGGUUGUCGUCAGCUCGUGUCGUGAGAUGUUGGGUUAAGUCCCGCAACGAGCGCAACCCUUAAGCUUAGUUGCCAUCAUUAAGUUGGGCACUCUAAGUUGACUGCCGGUGACAAACCGGAGGAAGGUGGGGAUGACGUCAAAUCAUCAUGCCCCUUAUGAUUUGGGCUACACACGUGCUACAAUGGACAAUACAAAGGGCAGCGAAACCGCGAGGUCAAGCAAAUCCCAUAAAGUUGUUCUCAGUUCGGAUUGUAGUCUGCAACUCGACUACAUGAAGCUGGAAUCGCUAGUAAUCGUAGAUCAGCAUGCUACGGUGAAUACGUUCCCGGGUCUUGUACACACCGCCCGUCACACCACGAGAGUUUGUAACACCCGAAGCCGGUGGAGUAACCAUUUGGAGCUAGCCGUCGAAGGUGGGACAAAUGAUUGGGGUGAAGUCGUAACAAGGUAGCCGUAUCGGAAGG